rnacentral:misc_RNA from 1 species
AAGUGAUACUUACUUCCUCUUGUAGAACACGUUGUUUUAACUUUCUCAAAGAGAUGUGAAUUUUCUAGUCUUUAAUUCACGGAUAAUAAAAUGAUAAGGCGUCAAGCUCGUUUGCGGAGGGAAUACCUAUACAGAAAAGCUAUCGAAGACAGAGACAAAACAAUCCUAGAAAAAAAGCAGAGACUAAAACAAGUGCUUGAUGACAAUAAAGAGAUCCCAUCAGACUUGAGGAAGGAUGCAAUAAGCAUACAGAAAACCUUAGACUGGGAAGGUCCAGGGGGAGAAGGUAUAGUGAACCAUGUGGAUGAUGAGUAUAAAUGGGCCGGUGUGGAGGAUCCCAAAAUCAUGAUCACGACCUCCAGGGAUCCAAGCUCUAAACUCAAACAGUUUGCAAAGGAGGUGCGUUUAAUUUUCCCGAACAGCCAGAGAAUAAACCGUGGUAACUACGAGGUGAAACAGCUGGUGGAGGCGUGUCGUUCUAACGACGUGACCGAUCUCAUCUUACUGCAUGAACACAGAGGUGUUCCUGACGGCCUCAUAGUGUGUCACCUUCCGUUCGGGCCCACUGCGUAUUUCACUCUGUCCAACGUGGUGAUGCGACACGAUAUUCCCGACGUCGGAACCAUGUCUGAACAGUUCCCCCAUCUCAUCUUCCACAACUUCUCAUCCAGACUAGGAAACAGGGUGAAGAGUAUCCUGAAGUAUUUGUUCCCAGUCCCUAAGGAGGAAAGCAUCAUGUGUACAAGAAGACAGAGAAUGGAAAAGAUAUAGAACUACAAGAAGUUGGGCCUAGAUUUGAAAUGAAAAUUUACCAGAUAAUCCUGGGUACCAUAGAAAAUGUAGACACAGCUGACACAGAAUGGGUGUACAGGCCAUACAUGAACACUACAAAGAAACGCAAGUUCUUAUCCGACAACUAACCGCUAUACAGCUGUGUUAUCCUAAUGUUGACUGUUCACAUAAAUGCUGGAACUUUUAGAGUUAUGAUUUUGAAAAAUUUACGAGGCAGAUAUGAGAAGACAAUACAUGAACAUUACAAAGAAACCCAAGUUCCAACUAACCACUGUACAGUGGUGUUAUCCUAAUGUUGACUGUUCACAUAAAAAUUGGAUCUUUCGGAAAAAUAAUUUUGAAAAAUUUACAAGGCAGAAAUGAGAAGACAAUUUAGGGAAAGUGGUGAUUUCCCAUUUGAAGAUCGAUACUUGAAUGCUUAAAAGGGGAAUUCAUCCAUCUAUUGGAUUUUUGUUUUCAAAUCCCUCUACAGCUGAUGUGUUUAAUAUUAAUAGAUCAGUUUUAAUGGCUGGCAUUUCAAAUGAAGUUUUAUUUAUGGGGGUUUGAAGAAUAGAUUCAUUAUAUCCUAAAUCCUACCAUAUGGAUACAUGUAUUUCAUUCUGACAGAUUAUGCACACUUUUUCUAUCAAAAAAAACAGAUUGUUUGCUGUUAAACAUGAUAUGAAUGUGAGCUAGACUUCAGUUUGUUUGGAAAUCAUUUCAUCAUUAAUUUUUUUUAAUAUACAUAUAGAAUGUAUAAUGUAAUAAGCAAAUCCCACAUUGUGAUUUCUGUCUUCAGCAUCAUGAUUAUGUACAUGUAUAAAAAUAAAAUGAGACUUAAAA